CUUUUCUUCUUCUUCUUCUCUUCCCUUCACCGCCAAGAUUUUGAAGACAUCCAAGUUCCAUUUUUUUUUCUUUUUCCUUCUUCAAUUUGCAGAGAACUUCUAAGAGAGAGUUUGGAAGAAGAAGAGAAAUUUUACUAGAAUUUUUAGGUUGAAGAAGAGGAGGAGAACUCAAGCAAAGUGUAUCAAUGGCUGAAUUUUAGUUCAUUCUGCACAUCACUGGUUUUUAAUUUGGUUUGAACUCUUCAAAAGGAAUUAAGAGAAAACAGGGCAGUUGGUUUUCACUCGAAAUCAGGAGGUCUCUGGUUUUUCUUGUAUUUCAGAGUGUAUUGGUAGAGUUAGAACCUCUAUUUGGGACAAGUUAAAGAGGUCGUGUGCGUGCGAUUCUGGAAGUGGUUCUGUUUUGAGGGUUAUAUGUGUUUAUGCACGGGGAAUCAGAUUUAUAUGUCUUCAGGUAAGUUUUAGAGGAUCUCAAAAUGAAGAUUUUGAUAUAAAGAACACUCAUUUUGGUUAAGUAUUGAGAAAGUUAUAGUCCUUUGAAGUUUAUGUUAGAAAUCUGGAAAUUUUAGAGAAUUAAUGAAAUAGGAUUUUAUUUCUUAAGCUUUGUUUUCGUGAGCGUCAUCUUUUGGUGCGACAUGUUAUGUAUAUCUUUAGGAAACCAGAAUGUUUAGAGUUUUAAUACUCGGUUGGGUUGUUGGCAGGCCGAGAAGAAUUAAACCGAGCUUAUAGACCAAGGAUCUAGCCCAAGACUGUAGAGAUCGACUUCCCGGUGCCUGAUAGACUGCCUUAGUCUGCGGAAGCUUCAUUAUCGAUUGCCAGUACGUGUUUUGAGUUGGGCAUAGAGUCUGUUGUGUUGUGGUGUAUAUACACCGUUGUAUGUUAUAGAUACUCCACAGUUUGUAUAAGCUUUAGGAGUUGUAGUUGUGUAAAUUUUGUUGGUUAUAUUUUGAUUAAGGUGUCUUUAGGUUUACUCGUGAAAUUGGUAAAUUU